rnacentral:piRNA from 1 species
UGACAACCCACCUCCUCAAUGUUGCA